rnacentral:rRNA from 1 species
GUGAACGCUGGCGGUAGGCCUAACACAUGCAAGUCGCACGGCAGCACAGUAAGAGCUUGCUCUUACGGGUGGCGAGUGGCGGACGGGUGAGGAAUACAUCGGAAUCUACUUUUUCGUGGGGGAUAACGUAGGGAAACUUACGCUAAUACCGCAUACGACCUACGGGUGAAAGCAGGGGAUCUUCGGACCUUGCGCGAUUGAAUGAGCCGAUGUCGGAUUAGCUAGUUGGCGGGGUAAAGGCCCACCAAGGCGACGAUCCGUAGCUGGUCUGAGAGGAUGAUCAGCCACACUGGAACUGAGACACGGUCCAGACUCCUACGGGAGGCAGCAGUGGGGAAUAUUGGACAAAGGGCGCAAGCCUGAUCCAGCCAUACCGCGUGGGUGAAGAAGGCCUUCGGGUUGUAAAGCCCUUUUGUUGGGAAAGAAAAGCAGCAGGUUAAUACCCCGCUGUUCUGACGGUACCCAAAGAAUAAGCACCGGCUAACUUCGUG